rnacentral:rRNA from 1 species
AUGAGCAGGGUGUGCGUCACCGGAGCGGCCGGCUACAUCGCGGCCUGGCUCGUCCGUAAGCUUCUGCAGCGAGGCUGCGUCGUCCACGCCACCUUGAGAUCCCUCCGGGAUGAGAAGAAGACGGGGCUGCUGAAGUCGCUGCCGGGCGCGGCGGAGCGGCUGGUGCUGUUCGAGGCUGAUAUCUACGACGCCGCCACCUUCGAGCCGGCCAUCCAGGGCUGCGAGUUCGUCUUCCUCGUCGCCACCCCGCUGCUGCACGACACCAGCAGCACCAAGUACAAGAACAUAACUGAAGCGGUCGUGGACGCGACGCGCAUCAUCCUGCAGCAGUGCGAGCGGUCCAAGACGGUGCGGCGCGUCAUCCACACGGCCUCCGUCACGGCCGCCUCGCCGCUCAAGGAGGACGGCGACGGGUACAAGGACGCCAUGAACGAGUCCUGCUGGUCGCCGCUCCACCUCUCCUACGGCUACAGCAACGUCCACCUCGACGCGUACGUGUCGUCCAAGAGGCUGUCAGAGGAGGAGCUGCUGAGGCACAACGAGUCGGAGGGGGGCAGGGCGUUCGAGGUGGUGACGCUGGCGUGCGGGCUCGUCGGCGGCGACACCAUCCAGCCCAUCCUGUGGAGCAGCAUCCCCGUGGUGGUGGCGCCGCUCACCGGCAACGAGAUGCAUCACAACUCCCUCAAGUUCAUGCAGGCGCUCUGCGGCUCCGUGCCGCUGGUGCACAUCGAGGACGCCUGCGAGGCGCACCUCUUCUGCAUGGACCAGCCGUCCAUGGCUGGGCGCUUCCUCUGCGCCGUCGGGUACCCCAACAUGGAGGACUACGUCGCCCGCUUUGCCGCCCGCUACCCGGAGCACAAGAUACUGCUCAAGAAGGUGGCGGGAGAGGGAGUGAGGGUGAAGGGUGAUUCGACCAAGCUCGUGGAUCUGGGGUUCAAGUUCAAGUAUGGUGUGGAGGAGACGCUGGACUGCAGCGUGGAAUGCGCCAAGAGGAUGGGAGAGCUCUGA